rnacentral:rRNA from 1 species
CGUGUAGGCUGCUUGGAAAGUCGGAUGUGAAAGCCCUGGGCUCAACCUAGGAAGUGCAUUCGAAACUUCCAAGCUCGAGUUUCGGAGAGGAAGGCGGAAUUCUCGGUGUAGAGGUGAAAUUCGUAGAUAUCGAGAGGAACAUCGGUGGCGAAGGCGGCCUUCUGGACGAUGACUGACGCUGAGACGCGAAAGCGUGGGGAGCAAACAGGAUUAGAUACCCUGGUAGUCCACGCCGUAAACGAUGGGUGCUAGGUGUCGCGGGCUUUGACCCCUGCGGUGCCGUAGCUAACGCAUUAAGCACCCCGCCUGGGGAGUACGGCCGCAAGGCUAAA